UGCUCCUGCCCUCCUCCUGCAGUAGGCCGACUCCCUCUCUACCGAGGGGGUUGGUGGUUCUUUCCCCCACUCUGCCAGCAAUCACGGCCAUGGUGAAGACAGAGUGUUGACCUAUUGCUGGGAUUCUCCCCUUGCUCUGGCUGACUUGAAAUCCUGAGAGGCAGUGGGUUGAUGUGCUGGCUCCUAGCAGUGGCCCUCAGCCAGAUUGCAGGCUUAGCAGCGGGAGCAGGAAGAACAGAGGCCCCUCUAAAUUGCCCUGCUCAUACUGGAUGGCAGGCCGUGGGUGGAGCCUUCUUCCAAGUCUUCGAGUGGGUUGUAGCCUGGCAGUGUUGCUGCUGACAUAGACUGUCAUGUCCUGGCUGCCGCGCAGUUUGCCCUGGCUCAUGGCUUCUUGUGCUUUGGUGGUUGUGGUCUCUUGAAUUUCAGGGAAUCUGUCAGGUGGAUGAAGGCUGAUGGGGAGGGGUUGUGUGGUUGCAAGCCCAGAAGGUACUCAUGAGUCCUGGUUUUGGAAGGAAAGGAAGAGCCUCCUCAAUGCGAGGGGAUAAAGGAGCCUAAACCAGACUGGCAUUCAGAUUGACAGUCAGCCAUUGGAACCUCAUUUAGCCUCUGCAGAAGGCACCACUGGAAAGCAGACACAUCAGGAUACCUGGAGGUAGCAAAGGUGUUGACCUGUGUAGGAAUCGGUACUCUGGAGUCCUUUGGUUAUGUGGCACUUCUCAUAGACACCGAGGUCAUUCUUGCUGGCCUCCAGGUGGAAGGCAAUGGUGUCAAGAUACUCUUCUGCUAUUCGGGUACUAGUGGCCUGUCUGGACUCUAGGCAAUGUCAAUGUCAGAUAGGACAUGGAUGGUGUUUGGAAGCCUCUGGAGCAAGUUGUGAUUCCUCCCGUGGGGCCUCUCUGGCGGCCAGCUUAGGAAACAAUGGCAGAAAUGCCCUUGAGGUGCAAGGCUGUAUGGAGUUUGGAACUGACUGCCUCAAACCUAUGCUCAUGUGCAGUGGAGUAUGCCCAAGAGACCCUGGAUUGCUGGGAUUCAUUUCUGGUCUUUGGCAGUCUGAGUGUGCACUUUCUCUUGGCAGAACUCAGCCUCCUUGAGUCUCCCCCUCAUAGGAGUUCUUGGGAUGGGAAACACCGAUGCAGUGUCCACAACCUCAGACCUAUUUCAGGGACCCUUGAGGAGUAAGGUGUGUCCCCUAAAGACAGAUGGUCCGAGACGGACAGCAUGCCUUGGAAAAAAGGCACAGAAACAGAAGGAGGUAUGGGAAAGAGAAACACACAUAGACAGGGACAGAGACAGACACAGAGACAGAGACAGAGAUGUGGUGAAAUGGAGACAAACACAUAGAGAAGGAGAUUGUUAAACAAUGUCUGGCAGCCCUGCCAGGUCUUCUGUCACUUGGGAAGAAGGCCUAAGAGGAAACUUUGUCGUGGUCCUAACUGAAGCACCUCAGGUCUUUGGUAGGACAGAGUGUUGUAGAUUUCAGGAGCAUUGCCACAGUAAUAUAGAGGCCUGCCUGGUUUUGAGAUAGAGUUUGAAGGAGGAGGAGGACGAGGCCCAGGGGAAGGCCGACAAUGAGGAGAAAGAGGCAUGGAGAACAAGGCUACAGCUGAUGCUAGCUAGCUUUGAGAUGGAGAGAGCAAGUUGAGUUUGCACUGUCCAGUGACCCCAGGGGACAGGGUUUCAGGGCUGAGGUUUUCCUAGGGGGCCUUUAGGAUGUUUCUUGAAGAGUGUGCUCGCUGCUGUAUCUGAAUGUGUUGUGUUGACAGAAACUGGUUGGUUGACUGCAGGGUGGGGCAAAGAUCCUCUUACAGGCCAAGCAGGAGCUCUUUGGCCCUGGAGCGAACCCGACCAACCUCUGACAAGCAAUGCUGGAGGUGUUGGGCAGAGCAGGAGUGGUGAGACAGCAGAAGUGAUCUCAUCAUCCCAUGGAGACUAGCAAAGAUAAGCCCUCCCAGCUCCAAUUCGACAGUUCCCACUGGAACGGUGACAUGUGCUUUUAUGUGUUCACAGUGUCCCACUCUGGGUCCUGCAUGGCCUGAGUGCACAGAGGAUGGCCCAGCAUCCUUCGCACAGGGCUGGUUGCUCCUGACUAAGCCUCCAGUGAAGUUGCCUGGUGUUGCUGACAUGCCUGAGAAGGCCCGAAGAUGGAAGAUGAAGGUACGCCUCCCAAGAAUUGCCCCAUAUGCUCAGGAUUCUCGGGUCUUGGUGGUGUUGCUAGGUAUUGACCAUUCGUGCAUCCGGGCCUGUGUGCACGUGUAACAGACUUAGGUGCUCAAGGUGCUGCCCGGUUGCUUGCAGAGGCCCAUUGCAGUGUGUUCGCCUUCCUGGUCUGGGGCACUUGUUGAUAUUUCUUCUGGCACCCCACCAACACCCGCGCUGUCCAUGAGUGUCUGUGCUGAAUAUCUGGAUGCAAGGGCACUGCAGCGUGCAUGGAUCGAUGAUGAUUCAAGUCAAACAUUCCUUGGAAAAGCUGAACAAAAUGAGUGAAAUCUCAGUUCGCCUCUCUCAUCGGGACUGAGGUCUGGCACCUUGGGUCCCCCACGUCCUCCGGGAGUCAGACACAGGCUUGGGAACCACUCCACUGCUCCUGCCCUCCUCCUGCAGUAGGCCGACUCCCUCUCUACCGAGGGGGUUGGUGGUUCUUUCCCCCACUCUGGCAGCAAUCACGGCCAUGGUGAAGACAGAGUGUUGACCUAUUGCUGGGAUUCUCCCCUUGCUCUGACUGACUGAGAGGCAGUGGGUUGAUGUGCUGGCUCCUAGCAGUGGCCCUCAGCCAGAUUGCAGGCUUAGCAGCGGGAGCAGGAAGAACAGAGGCCCCUCUAAUUUGCCCUGCUCAUACUGGAUGGCAGGCCCUGGGUGGAGCCUUCUUCCAAGUCUUAGAGUGGGUUGUAGCCUGGCUGUGUUGCUGCUGACAUAGACUCUCAUGUCCUGGCUGCCGCGCAGUUUGCCCUGGCUCAUGGCUUCUUGUGCUUUGGUGGUUGUGGUCUCUUGAAUUUCGGGGAAUCUGUCAGGUGGAUGAAGGCUGAUGGGGAGGUGUUGUGUGGUUGCAAGCCCAGAAGGUACUCAUGAGUCCUGGUUUUGGAAGGAAAGGAAGAGCCUCCUCAAUGCGAGGGGAUAAAGGAGCCUAAACCAGACUGGCAUUCAGAUUGACAGUCAGCCAUUGGAACCUCAUUUAGCCUCUGCAGAAGGCACCACUGGAAAGCAGACACAUCAGGAUACCUGGAGGUAGCAAAGGUGUUGACCUGUGUAGGAAUCGGUACUCUGGAGCCUUUGGUUAUGUGGCACUUCUCAUAGACACCGAGGUCAUUCUUGCUGGCCUCCAGGUGGAAGGCAAUGGUGUCAAGAUACUCUUCUGCUAUUCGGGUACUAGUGGCCUGUCUGGACUCUAGGCAAUGUCAAUGCCAGAUAGGACAUGGAUGGUGUUUGGAAGCCUCUGGAGCAAGUUGUGAUUCCUCCCGAGGGGCCUCUCUGGCGGCCAGCUUAGGAAACAAUGGCAGAAAUGCCCUUGAGGUGCAAGGCUGUAUGGAGUUUGGAACUGACUGCCUCAAACCUAUGCUCAUGUGCAGUGGAGUAUGCCCAAGAGACCCUGGAUUGCUGGGUUGCAUUUCUGGUCUUUGGCAGUCUGAGUGUGCACUUUCUCUUGGCAGAACUCAGCCUCCUUGAGUCUCCCCCUCAUAGGAGUUCUUGGGAUGGGAAACACCGAUGCAGUGUCCACAACCUCAGACCUAUUUCAGGGACCCUUGAGGAGUAAGGUGUGUCCCCUAAAGACAGAUGGUCCGAGACGGACAGCAUGCCUUGGAAAAAAGGCACAGAAACAGAAGGAGGUAUGGGAAAGAGAAACACACAUAGACAGGGACAGAGACAGAGACAGAGACAGAGACAGAGAUGUGGUGAAAUGGAGACAAACACAUAGAGAAGGAGAUUGUUAAACAAUGUCUGGCAGCCCUGCCAGGUCUUCUGUCACUUGGGAAGAAGGCCUAAGAGGAAACUUUGUCGUGGUCUGACCUGAAGCACCUCAGGUCUUUGGUAGGACAGAGUGUUGUAGAUUUCAGGAGCAUUGCCACAGUAAUAUAGAGGCCUGCCUGGUUUUGAGAUAGAGUUUGAAGGAGGAGGAGGACGAGGCCCAGGGGAAGGCCGACAAUGAGGAGAAUGAGGCAUGGAGAACAAGGCUACAGCUGAUGCUAGCUAGCUUUGAGAUGGAGAGAGCAAAUUGAGUUUGCACUGUCCAGUGACCCCAGGGGACAGGGUUUCCGGGCUGAGGUUUUCCUAGGGGGCCUUUAGGAUGUUUCUUGAAGAGUGUGCUCGCUGCUGUCGAGGUAUCUGGAUGUGUUGUGUUGCCAGAAACUUGUUGGUUGACUGCAGGGUAGGGCAAACAUCCUCUUACAGGCCAAGCAGGAGCUCUUGGGCCCUGGAGCGAACCCGGCCUACCUCUGACAAGCCAUGCUGGAGGUUUUGGGCAGAGCAGGAGUGGUGAGACAGCAGAAGUGAUCUGAUCAUCCC
rnacentral:lncRNA from 1 species